GAUGAACGCUGGCGGCGUGCCUAAUACAUGCAAGUCGGGCGAACGGACGAGAAGCUUGCUUCUCUGAUGUUAGCGGCGGACGGGUGAGUAACACGUGGAUAACCUACCUAUAAGACUGGGAUAACUUCGGGAAACCGUAGCUAAUACCGGAUAAUAUUUUGAACCGCAUGGUUCAAAAGUGAAAGACGGUCUUGCUGUCACUUAUAGAUGGAUCAGCGCUGCAUUAGCUAGUUGGUAAGGUAACGGCUUACCAAGGCAACGAUGCAUAGCCGACCUGAGAGGGUGAUCGGCCACACUGGAACUGAGACAAGGUCCAGACUCCUAAGGGAGGCAGCAGUAGGGAAUCUUCCGCAAUGGGCGAAAGCCUGACGGAGCAACGCCGCGUGAGUGAUGAAGGUCUUCGGAUCGUAAAACUCUGUGAUUAGGGAAGAACAUAUGUGUAAGUAACUGUGCAAAACUUGACGGUACCUAAUCAGAAAGCCACGGCUAACUACGUG
rnacentral:rRNA from 1 species